rnacentral:lncRNA from 1 species
GCACACUGCCUGAGGUGAUAGUGCACCUCACUAGGCCGCUUGCGCUCAGUCCUAUCUACGCAGGUCUACCUCGCAGACGGCAUACGUAUAGGGCACACGACACCUGGCCCUGUCCCUGCACGAUGUGACGCACGCGCAGACUAGCUUGUUUGCGCGUGAUGGGACGCAUGCAUAGACUGGCCCCACGCCUUGCAUAGAUAGGACGUGCGCAUAGUG